GGAAACUCUUUUCUCUCUCCUUUUCCGUUCUCUCUAUUCCUUUUGCUCUUCUCCCUUUUCUGCUCCCUUCACUCUUUCUUCACCCCUGUUUUUAUCUCAUUCUCUCUACUCCCACGACACUCCCCCCCCCACCCCCACCCCCAGCCCUGGCUUCGGCGCCCUGGGCUCAGGCGGCCUAAAGUUGGGGACACUUAGGGUGCUGUGUGGGGGGUGUGAGUCCGUGGAUCUGUGUCUAAGUCUGUGUGUCCGUCCCCGCCCUCACCUCCUCCCUUGCCCUUCCCCAAAUCUCGGGUCUGACGUCGCGCCCUCUUAUUCGACUUUUCCUCGCGUCUCCUUCCCGAGUCGCCAAUCGCCUGGGCGCCUUCCAGGCGGGGCCGCCCACCCCGGAGGAUACGGCGCGCUGGGCGGGGCGGGGCGGGGCGGGGCCGCGAGCCCGGGCGCUGGGAGUCCUUGCCCGCCCCCUCCGGCCUGCGCGGGGAGGGGGAGCGGGAGGCGCUGGGGACGCGGGUUAGGACGGGGUCAGCUCGCCCCUCCCCGCCGCCCGCCCUCGGUACCUCUCCCCCCGCCCCAGCGCGGGGCCUGGGUCGGGACCAGAUCCUGGUCCAGGGCAGGCGCUGGGGCUUUCCUCGGCCCGGACCCUUUUUCGGCUCGCACCUCUAGACCCCAGGCACUGUCCGCGGCGUAGGAAAAAAGCUAGAAGAAUUCGCGAGGGGGUGAAGGGGUGCACCCCGGUCGAAUCUUCAAAGGCCAUCUCAUUGCCCAGGGGAGCGAAACAGACCCCUACCCGGCCACUUUAACGCCUCCGGUGUCCGGGUGCGAAUCUCUUAUUAGAAAUGGCGGGCUCUGCCUUUGCAGGGACUGAAGUGUGGACACCCGCCCCCCCCCCCCCCCCCCCGUCCCGCCCCGGGGAUCCUGGGGAGCCACGACUGGGAAGUGGAGCCUGCCGGUGCCCUAAGCGGGUGUGCGAUGGUGGAGGAGCAGAGAGCCGGUGGCUGAGGCUCCAGGAACUUUCCCAGAGCGCUCCGAGAAGUUUGUAUAUUGGAAUUUUCGGUCUGUAGACACCCUUCCUUUCACUACCCCUUCCCCUGCGCCCCGGUCGCCGUGCCAACACGCUUUCUUUCCGUAAGGAUCCUAUCACCGUCUCGGGUGGGGAUGGGAGGCAAGACUUUUGGUCCCACAGUGGAAUAUUUCCUAAAUCGAACCUGAAAUCCCAGUAUCCGAACGCCCACCUUCACGGAUUAGGGCGUGCAGCCGGCAGCAGGAUUGACAUUCCCGGAAUCGUAGAGGCUCUGGGCUAAAAGCUUUAGGCCGCGGCUGCGACUGACGCGCAGGCCAGACCUGCCGCGGUAGCGCUCCGGGGACAACACGGAGGCGGCGACUCUGUCCUGGAGUGGCCAGUUCGGGCUUCGAGGCGGAAACUGGCCGCCGCGCGCUGAUGGAGAGGGCAAUUGAAUCCGAAUUCCAUCAGAGUGAGGGGCCCGGGCUAUCUUUGGUCCAAGCAGCUUUGGGCAUUCCAGUUGAGGAAUGAACUCCCAGUUUUGACCUCGCCCAUCACUCCCCCCCCCCCCCCCCCCGUCUUCUUUCCACGGGGCUUGGCACCCGGCGGCGGCUCCAGAGAAAAAUGGGGUGGAAGACAAGGGAAAGUUUGGGGGCGGCCAGGUUUGGGGUUCAAGUGGGGAAACUGACUUGUGUGGCCUUUUCAAAUUCCUCAAAUCCGGUCGAGCUCUUUCCCAUAGCCUCUCCCCACCUGCUUCUCUUCCAGAUACCGGGCGUUGGCCUUAGCUGGAGUCUCCCCAGAGGAGGAGAUAUCAGGGGAAGCUCUGGCUUUGAAAUGUUUCCUCGGAGCCUGAUUUCGUUUGCAGUUAAACCUCGAAGCCAAAUGGCAUAGGGAGUCAUGGGGCUCACCUUCUCGCGGAAGAUUUCAGGGGUGACAAAACUGAGGGUAACAUUAUUUCCCGGACUGUUUCCUAGGUGUCAGACCUCGAGCCUCGACGGCCCUGAACCCUAGAGUUUGUGCAAAGUGGUGGCGCCAGACCAGAGCGAGCCAAGAGCUAGGUUCCGAGGUGGGGACUCUGGGGCUGCGCUGUAAAUGCCCGGAUGAAACGCUCGCUAUUUAACUCAGCUCUUCCAGAAGGAUAAGAGAAAAACCAUGAGCCCCGGAGACGCUUCUUCCACAUUAACCAACUAUUGACCUGGCAGCGUGGAGGCCAGGAAAGGGACAAGGUUGUUCUCAGUGACCCAACCACGAAGGUCUAAGGGCGCUCAUAGCCCCGAAGGCACCCCCCCUCCAAACCCAUACGCGUACUCAAGAAGGCGCCCAGGUCCUGGGCGGAAGCGGCCUCUUCGCUACCCUAGUGUCCAGCAGAGAUCAGCCCCGCCCUUGCCCCGGCGAUCCGCGCUUCACGUCGGGACUCAGCGUCGUAGGCGGCCGAGCCCCGACGUGGCACUGGCUCCCCAACUCGACGGGGCCAACGGAUCCCGGCUCCGGACUGAACUCUGGGGUUCGAGGACAGCCGAACCAUUUCCAGAGCUUUUUAAUCCAAGGGAUGAGGUCAAAGUGAUACACUCGCACAGGGAGGAAAAGCAGGUGCACGGGAAGCUGAUUUGGGAAAGGCACGCGCGCACAAACGUGCCGCACACAAAAGCGUCUCCGUCUUUUCGCCUUCUUCCAACGUUCCCGGCGCACAAAGCGCCUCGGAGUCUUGCUGUAGGCGCUCUCUCUACGCGGCCCAGAGUGUGGCAGUGCACGGAGAGGGUGUCCCUAGCACACGUUUGGUGCACGCAGCAGCGUUCGCUGGACUCGCACCCGGGGCCGCGCGGCCCGACGUAUGCCCAGGGGCCGCGCGGCCCGCCAGGCUCAAGGGCAGCGCCGCGCACUGAAAGCGAGCACCUAGCCACCAGGCCCACUUCCCGCCCCCUCCUCGCCCAGCCCCACGGUGCGCGCGCGCGUCCCCGUCGAGGGGCGCCGCUGUCGCCCUAGGUCUCCCCGCCGAGGCCCAUCUUCAGUUCUUCUCUCCCAGAACCGAAAUCCCCGGGCUGCAGUGCGGCCGGCGAUCCCUCCGCUUCCUGCAGACGCCGCGGCGCACGCUCCCGCCGCUCCCUCCCCCCGCGCUCGGGUUACAGCAGCCCUGCAGACACCCGGAGUGCGUGGCCUGGCGUCCUCACCGGGAGGGAUUUGCAUCAGGCCGGAAUCCGGACCCCGGGCAUCCCAGGAGGCGCGGGCCGGCGGCCUCCAGAGCCGCCCCGGAACGGGCUGCCGCUCCCCACCAGCCGCCAGGGCCUCGGAGCCGGUCCCUGCGUCCCGAGAAGCGUCGGGGAAACUUUGGGAGAAACUUUGCCAACUUUGCUCUCGGCGAGGGAGAGGCCGCCCGGCCGGCCGCGGCGGCUGCGGGCCGCGACGCGCAGAGUGGGCCCCAAGUCAGGCCUGGGCACCCCGGAGCCUGCAGGGCAGCCCAAGGAGGGGUGCGAGGCCGGCCGGCGGCCCCUGGCACCCCGCUGCGCCCCCGCGCGUCCCCCACCUGGCCCUCGGGCCCCCGUCUCCGAGCUGCCCGCGACUCGCAGAGCCCAGGAUGGCCGGGACCGAAAACCUGGCCUUCAGCGCAAGUGAUCUGAUUUUUCUUUACCUCUCCACGAUCAUCCUUUUUCCACCUGACUUGAGCAGUUUCUCUGCCUCCCUCUCCUUUGUUUUCCUCUCCCCGUCUGUGUCUGUCUGUCCCGCUGUCUGGGUAUUCGAUUUCUAACUCCUUCAUGUCCAUUCUUUCCUCCGCGCGCUCCCCAUUUCGUUGUUUUAUCCGCUCCUCUGGACCACUUCGCAGUUACUUUUCUCAGUUUUGCUCCUUCCCUUAUUUUGUCUGUUUUUACCCCUGUCUGCCCCUCGCCCUCUCCCUCAUUUCUCCGUCCACCUUUCUUUCGUUCGUUCAUCCUAAUCUAUUUCCUUCUCCGAUUCCUUGGUCUGCGUCUCAGGCUCUGCUGCGCUUGUAUUUUCUCUCUUCUCCUCUUCCUCCCCGGGACGUGUGGGCCCCCCCCCCCCCCCCCCGUGGAUCUGCCUUCCCUGCGGCGCCCCCUCCUCAUCCAUCUUGGGAGAUGAAUAUGUCGCCUUAUUGGAUGCCGAGGCCGGAGCCGGGUGAUGGGGCUCGGCCAGCCUAGUGCAUUUUCUUCAUGCAUAUUGAGGAGAUGGUAAUGAGCGCGUUUGCAUUGUUGCAGGGAACUACUCCGUUUCCGGCCGCAAUUCGGGGCCGGCGAGGGUGGCGCGGGCCCAAGAGAGCCCGCAGCGGGCGCCCGGCCUGGUGGCCGCAGCUGGCCCUCAACGGGAUGGCGGGUGCUCGGGCCCCGGGGAGGAAGUGACCUCUCGGAGAGCUCGGCCCGGCCGCCGCCGCCGCCUCCUCGGGCUUCUCCACAAAGGCCGGCCGCGCUCCCCUCAUUAAAAGCCUCGUUACGGGAACCCCCGCCUCGCUCGCGAAGGUUCCCUCGCGCCCCCGACCCGUGGGCCUCUGCCCCCCCCCCCCUCCCCUGGUGCUUCGAGGCCUGUGAUGGAGCGCCACCAGGAAAUUAGCGCCUGACAACGUCGUCGUCUAGUGGCAAUGAAUUGUUUGAAAUGAGUGACACGUCGCGGGAUCAAACACAGCCUCAUUGUGUCCCCGGCUCCACUCACUCCUUAAUCUGGAAGGGCGCAGCGGCUUCGCUGGGCCAGGGAAGGUUGCCACAGGCCCCUGGCUUGUCCCUGCCGGGCUCCGGCCUGGGCUCAGCCUGACAGAGCCGACCUGGAGGACCCAGUCAUUCUAGAGGGGGCAUGUCUCUCUCUGAGAAGGUCCCCAGAGCUCAGGAGACAGGACCGGGCCUGCCUCUCAAAGAGGUGAAGGUGUAUGAAAGUCAGGACUUGCAGGGAGCAAAUUCCCAGUCGAGCUCAAGAGGGAACCGACUGCUGGAACAGUCAGAAAGGCCUGGAUGCCCAGCUCCAGAUGCAGCGGAGCGGGGAACCUCUGGGUGUUGGACGGUUUGCCCUCCUCCGCCAGCCUCCUCCCAACUCGAAACUGGGAAAGCUGAGAAAACAUCAGGAUCUGGGCUUGUCUGGAGUCAGCGGUGUUGAGUUUCCCAAACUUCAAGCCCUCCGCCACCACCUCUGCUAUUGUUUAACAUUUUUCCUUAAGUUGACUCAUUUUAAAUACUUAAAUACAUGUUUUGGGAAAGAAAACCUGAUACAGCUACUGCAAAUUGAAAAGUGGGUCUUACUCACCAUAAAGGGAAAUGGGAAGAGAUAAAAAAAAAAAAAAAACAACUAAAACCAAGUGAUCUAAAACAUUUGAGCCACGGUGCUUGCUCGGGAAUCACUUCGAGAGGGUGUGUGCGUGUGUGUGUGUAUUGAUUAGCAAGUAUUGGAAUUAUUCAAUACUGGAUCUUUUUCAGAAGAGAUGGGAGAAUUGAAAAGGGGAUCCUUCUUAUUACUCAACAAUAUUAAUUCUCUGCCUCUAAGAGAAAUCAUAUUGAGGACCCCAAAGGCCGCAGGGCCGUAGGGUUUAGUUAAUAUCAUUCUCUGUUGAAGAGUAUGUAAAAAAAAAAAAAAAAUUAGGAUUGAAUAAAAACGUGUUGCCUUAUUAUAAUUUACCCAA